rnacentral:tRNA from 1 species
CCUCCCAUAGUUCAGUGGUAGAGUGUCCAACCGGUGUGCGGAAGUUUAUAGGUUUGAUUCCUGUUGGGGAACUCGGA